CGUGGUAAUGCUGGCAUAAUAAUUCCCGGUUGCCAUUUUCUGACAUUUGAAAAGAUCUGAAGAUACGCCCCUUGGAUGCCUGCAGAGAAGCUCUGGGGCUUCAGUCAAUGACUCAGGGUAGCCACCGAACAUGAUGCUCGGGCAGUGGGUGCCACCUGGACUCCACUCUCCCCUCUCUCUGGGAUCAUAGAGUCCAAGGUGUUCUGUGGCCUCUCGGCCAAUCCCAGCAGCUCAGCGUGCAGAAGACCGAGGAGCCAUUGGAAUUCAACACAACACGAAAUAAUCAACAAAUUCGGGGAAUGUUAAUCUGACCAUCACCAGUUACAAAUGAUGUUUCAUGCUACCUUCUAUUCCUGCCUUCAUAAAUCAAGCUCUAAAUCUCCAGGAAAAAAUGUGCUCAGGAUGGCCAGAGAAAUGUCCUUCCAACUGUGCAUGGAAAGGUAUGAUUUUGUGCAGCAGGUGAAGGACUGGUUAGAGUAAGUGUGUGCUGAGCUUUUGUGUUUGAAAGCGAGCCUGUGCACUUCUAACGAUUGGAAGGUUUCCUUGCCUUCUCCGAUCUUACACACAGCAAGGACAGCAAAGCCUUCCAGACCUGCCUGUGACAUGCACUGCACAUUCUAAAGAUGCCUAUGCAAUGGAAAACACCACUGUCUGCUCCAGCACAGCUGCCAUUCUUCCAUCUUAUCGACCUUAAUGCAACAACUCCUCACAGGCAGAGAUUUUAAAAUGUGUUCUUGGCAGAAGAGAGACUCAAAGAUGGGACAAAUGUGUCAUUUAAAUGCCUGUUAAAAUGGAAACAGACAUAGUAUAGUCAGAGGAUUGUGGCAGCUAAGAACAUAGUCUCUGGAGCAAAUCUGCAUGGGUGGCAAUGCCAAGCACAUGAGGUCCUAGUUGUAUGAACUUAGGAAAAGAAAAAGAGAACAUAUAUCCCCCUACCUUUUGAUUUCCAACAGUCUACUGAGAGGCCAAGAUUAUUUGCAGGGAAAGAAAAGGGGAAUGCCAUCCCCACCCUCUCGCAGCUACGUGCCAGUUCCAGAGCACCUGUUCCCCUCUACUUUGAAAAGGUCAAAAUGUUUUGCCAGUAACUCCCAAAUCAUCUACAGCCAAGGAGAAAAGUGUUUCAAGACAGAGGUGCUCAAUGGUAUCAAAUACUGCCAACAGACCAAGUAAUACAUGCAUUGAAGUGUCUACUGGAUCUAGCUAUAUGAAUUUUUAAUUUAGGACACUUAGGCCAUACUGAAGCAAGGUGACAAAAUGAAUAGCUACAAUGUCUCGUGAAUCUUGGGUUUCCAUUCACCCUGGUAUUCAAGAGAAAUUCUUGCAUCAUGGAAGUUGCAGUUGGAUAGGACUUUCUCAGCUGAACACUGUCAUCUGCCAGAGCUUCAGGCAAGAACCCAGAACAGAUGAAACCCCAGACAUGACAAAAUAAGCCAAAGAAUACCAGGCCAAGGUGUGAAAGGCCAGAUGAGAACAAGCAGCGUACACGAUUCUGUUGCCAACAGAUCUCCCCUAACAGUGUCGUGCACCAAAUUUCCACAGUGAAUGUCAGGAAAAAAUGGCAAUUGAGGUGGGUGGUCAAAAGAGAAGCACAGUCUAUGAUGAAGUCACCCCAGAGAAGUCCUUUUUCCGUUUUCUCCUGAGAAAUUACCAGAAGAAAUUAAAAUCCU
rnacentral:lncRNA from 1 species